AGAGUUUGAUCCUGGCUCAGGAUGAACGCUGGCGGCGUGCUUAACACAUGCAAGUCGAACGUGAAGAAGCAGCAAUGUUUCGGAAAGUGGCGGACGGGUGAGUAACACGUGGGUGACCUGCCGCGUAGUGGGGGAUAACCAAGGGAAACCGUGGCUAAUACCGCAUAGGCUUACACUGGUGGGAAUAGUGUGGGUAAAGCUUAGGCGCUACGCGAGGGGCCUGCGUCCGAUUAGCUAGUUGGUGAGGUAACGGCUCACCAAGGCGAUGAUCGGUAGCUGGUCUGAGAGGACGAUCAGCCACACGGGAACUGAGAAACGGUCCCGACUCCUACGGGGGGCAGCAGUGAGGAAUAUUGGGCAAUGGGCGGCAGUCUGACCCAGCAACGCCGCGUGGAGGAUGAAGGUUUUUGGAUUGUAAACUCCUUUUGCAGGGGAAGAGAGCGGACGGUACCCUGAGAAUCAGUCACGGCUAACUACGUGCCAGCCGCCGCGGUAAUAC
rnacentral:rRNA from 1 species